rnacentral:rRNA from 1 species
CAAGUCGAGCGGCAGCGCGGGGGCAACCCUGGCGGCGAGCGGCGGACGGGUGAGGAAUUCGUCGGAAUCUGCCUUUUUGUGGGGGAUAACGUAGGGAAACUUACGCUAAUACCGCAUACGACCUACGGGUGAAAGUGGGGGACCGCAAGGCCUCACGCAGAAAGAUGAGCCGACGACCGAUUAGCUAGUUGGUAGGGUAAAGGCCUACCAAGGCGACGAUCGGUAGCUGGUCUGAGAGGAUGAUCAGCCACACUGGGACUGAGACACGGCCCAGACUCCUACGGGAGGCAGCAGUGGGGAAUAUUGGACAAUGGGCGCAAGCCUGAUCCAGCCAUGCCGCGUGUGUGAAGAAGGCCUUCGGGUUGUAAAGCACUUUUGUCCGGAAAGAAAUCUUCCAACUUAAUACGUUGGGAGGAUGACGGUACCGGAAGAAUAAGCACCGGCUAACUUCGUGCCAGCAGCCGCGGUAAUACGAAGGGUGCAAGCGUUACUCGGAAUUACUGGGCGUAAAGCGUGCGUAGGCGGUUCGUUAAGUCUGACGUGAAAUCCCCGGGCUCAACCUGGGACGUGCGUUGGAAACUGGCGAUCUAGAGUACGGUAGAGGGUGGUGGAAUUCCCGGUGUAGCAGUGAAAUGCGUAGAGAUCGGGAGGAACACUCGUGGCGAAGGCGGCCACCUGGACCAGUACUGACGCUGAGGCACGAAAGCGUGGGGGAGCAAACAGGAUUAGAUACCCUGCUAGUCCACGCCCUAAACGAUGCGAACUGGAUGUUGGGCUCACUUCGGAGCUCAGUAUCGAAGCUAACGCGUUAAGUUCGCCGCCUGGGGAGUACGGUCGCAAGACUGAAACUCAAAGGAAUUGACGG